CUUGUGUCUCCGAAACUGAGAAGGAAAGAGGUCGGUAUGCUGGUAUCUCUGAAACUGAGAAGGAAACAAGUGGGGGUGCUUGUGUCUCCGAAACUGAGGAGGAAAGAGGUCGGGGUGCUGGUGUCUCCGAAACUGAGAAGGAAAGAGGUCGGUAUGCUGUUGUCUCUGAAACUGA